rnacentral:rRNA from 1 species
CCUACGGGAGGCAGCAGUGGGGAAUAUUGGACAAUGGGGGGAACCCUGAUCCAGCCAUGCCGCGUGUGUGAAGAAGGCCCUCGGGUUGUAAAGCACUUUCAGUGAGGAAGAACGCCUGGUGGUUAAUACCCAUCAGGAAAGACAUCACUCACAGAAGAAGCACCGGCUAACUCCGUGCCAGCAGCCGCGGUAAUACGGAGGGUGCGAGCGUUAAUCGGAAUUACUGGGCGUAAAGCGCGCGUAGGUGGCUUGAUAAGCCGGUUGUGAAAGCCCCGGGCUCAACCUGGGAAGGGCAUCCGGAACUGUCAAGCUAGAGUGCAGGAGAGGAAGGUAGAAUUCCCGGUGUAGCGGUGAAAUGCGUAGAGAUCGGGAGGAAUACCAGUGGCGAAGGCGGCCUUCUGGACUGAAACUGACACUGAGGUGCGAAAGUGUGGGUAGCAAACAGGAUUAGAUACCCCAGUAGUC